CUGGGUGCACAGGACUGUACGUGGCAGCGGUGCGGGGCCGCCCGCGGACUUUAGCCCUGCCCAGAGAUGGGUAGACCCUAAUUUGGAACAGCCAAGCCAUUGGCUGGGCACAGGCCAGCACUUUGGGAGGCCAAGAGGCCGAGGCAGGAGGAUCGCUCGAGGCCAGGAGUGCGAGACUGCGAGACUAGCCUGGGUAACAUAGGAAGACCCUCUCUUCAAAAAAAAAAAAAAAAAGAAGAAGCCUGUCACGGUGGCCUGCGCCUGUAUCCCAGCUACUCGAGAGGAUCGCCUGAGCCCAAUGAAGCUGCAGCGAGCUGUGAGGAUGCCACUGCACGCCAUCCUGGGCUAAAAAGCUAGAGCGUGUCUCUGAUAAAAGAAUAAAAGCUGUUUAUUGCAAUCC
rnacentral:lncRNA from 1 species